GGGCUUGUACUGGUUUCGACGGGGAUGUUGAAGUUUGAGAAGCCAUCCGCAGACUCCGGAGCUGCGUUAAAAGCCGGAACCUAAAUAUAAAAGCAGACGAUAAGUUAGCUUUAGCUGCCUAAUUAGGCGCUUGUCGGCCCGGGACUGCUCACCAUUCCGGUUACCGGCAUCGAAGAAGGUGAGGACCUCCAGAGCUUAAGCUUUGCGGCUUUGGAAAAUUUAUGAAGCUACUGAUGCUGUAGGCCUGUCAUUAGGCAUAUGGCAGAGGGAAUGAAUGUAUAAUGACUGUGAUGGGAGAUGCUUGGAUGGAGAUAUCUUCGGACCGGGGUUCGACUCCCCGCAGGUCCACUA
rfam:Coprococcus catus GD/7 draft genome.